GUCAUGCACCUCCAGAACAUGUGAUGGGAAGCUUGAGGUCCUCAUGACAUGCUCCUGCCCAGAAGAUCUAGAGGUAACAACGGGGAAAGCCAGCUGGAGACCUUGAUGAGGCGGCAGUAAGCCAAGAGACCCACAGGACAGUGAAGCCUGCUGCUCCGAGGAUACACGGCCAGAACACACACAGGGAGGGACUGAAGACACCUUCCAAUCAAAUACAAAGCGCAGACUUUACAAGGCCAAGAAGUUAGCCACUCUUAUGAAAAAGUGAUCUCCCAGACCUAUGCAAGCAGACAGAAUGUCAGAGAUGUGCCCCUCCAAGACCCUGAGGAGGAUAAAGCCAGCCCCACUUUAAAAAAAGACCACAUAAAAGGAAAAGACUACUCCUGUGAACCUCUGAAGACCUGAGAUUUCUCUUCAAAAUACAUGACUUCAGUACUACUCUGAGUACAGACAGGACAGAAAGGACCUAGAAAUGACCUCUAGGAGGAGACUCCGGCACCCCAAAGCCCAGUAGCGACAUCACACACCCAUACAUUCUGAUGACAACUAUCCCAGGAGGAUACAAUCCACAUGACACCUGUCUAUUCCAACCUGGUGACUGAGUCCUUCUAAAAACCUGGAAGGAACAAAGACCAUACCAUCCAUCUGAAGUUCUAAGAACUCCCUCUUCUGUCAGACUGGCUGCAGAGCCACUAUAAACCCACCACAUGUGACUGAAGUCACAUUCACAAUGAGGUGGUCAGAU